GACGAACGCUGGCGGCGUGCUUAACACAUGCAAGUCGAACGGAAAGGCCCUGCUUUUGUGGGGUGCUCGAGUGGCGAACGGGUGAGUAACACGUGAGUAACCUGCCCUUGACUUUGGGAUAACUUCAGGAAACUGGGGCUAAUACCGGAUAGGAGCUCCUGCUGCAUGGUGGGGGUUGGAAAGUUUCGGCGGUUGGGGAUGGACUCGCGGCUUAUCAGCUUGUUGGUGGGGUAGUGGCUUACCAAGGCUUUGACGGGUAGCCGGCCUGAGCGGGUGAACGGCCACAUUGGGACUGAGAUACGGACCAGACUCCUACGGGAGGCAGCAGUGGGGAAUAUUGCACAAUGGGCGGAAGCCUGAUGCAGCAACGCCGCGUGCGGGAUGACGGCCUUCGGGUUGUAAACCGCUUUCGCCUGUGACGAAGCGUGAGUGACGGUAAUGGGUAAAGAAGCACCGGCUAACUACGUG
rnacentral:rRNA from 1 species